rnacentral:rRNA from 1 species
CCGCGUCUGAUUAGCCAGUUGGCGGGGUAGAGGCCCACCAAAGCGACGAUCAGUAGCCGACCUGACCGAGGGUGACCGGCCACAUUGGGACUGAGACACGGCCCAAACUCCUACGGGAGGCAGCAGUGGGGAAUAUUGCACAAUGGGGGAAACCCUGAUGCAGCGACGCCGCGUGAGCGAAGAAGUAUUUCGGUAUGUAAAGCUCUAUCAGCAGGGAAGAAGAAUGACGGUACCUGACUAAGAAGCUCCGGCUAAAUAC